AGAACGAACGCUUGCGGCGCGCCUAAUACAUGCAAGUCGAACGCUGUAGCAAUACAGAGUGGCGCACGGGUGAGUAACGCGUGGAUAAUCUGCCUAUCAGUGGGGGAUAACUAUCCGAAAGGGUAGCUAAUACCGCAUGAGACCACAGUUCCUGCGGGAACAGAGGUUAAAGAUUUAUCGCUGAUAGAUGAGUCUGCGUGGGAUUAGCUAGUUGGUGGGGUAACGGCCUACCAAGGCUACGAUCUCUAACAGGUCUGAGAGGAUGACCUGUCACACUGGAACUGAGACACGGUCCAGACUCCUACGGGAGGCAGCAGUAGGGAAUAUUGCGCAAUGGGGCGAAAGCCUGACGCAGCGACGCCGCGUGAGUGAUGAAGGCCUUAGGGUCGUAAAGCUCUGUUGUACGGGAAGAAAAAUGACGGUACCGUAUAAGAAGGAUCGGCUAACUUCGUGCCAGCAGCCGCGGU
rnacentral:rRNA from 1 species